rnacentral:lncRNA from 1 species
AUUAUCAUUUUUAUCAUUCCCACAAUUCAAUCAAUUUUCAUGGGUUUAACAUAAACAUUUUCAUCAUUCCUACCAUUCAAUCAUAUUUCAUGGGUUUAGCAUCAACAUUUUCAUCAUUCCCACAAUUCAAUCAAAUUUCAUGGGUUUAACAACAACGUUUUCGUUAUUCACACAAUUCAAUCAAAUUUCAUGGGUUUAACAUCAACAUUUUCAUCAUUACCAUAAUUCAAUCAAAUUUCAUGGGUUUUACAUCACAUUUUCAUCAUUC